GCCGGGCGUGGUGGUGUGCACCUGUAAUCCCAGCUACUUGGGAGGCUGAGGCAGGAGAAUCCCUUGAACCUGGGAGGUGGAGUUUGCAGUGAGCUGAGAUGGCGCCACUGCACUCCAGCGUGGGUGACAGAGCGAGACUCUGUCUCAAAAAAAAAAAAGUGUAAUAAAAUACACAUAGCAUAAAUGUAUCAUUUUAACCCCCGUCUCCCAGGCUGGAGUGCAGUGGUGCGACCUUAGCCCACUGCAAUCUCCACCUCCCAGGUUCAAGGGAUACUCCUGCCUCA
rnacentral:SRP_RNA from 1 species